rnacentral:rRNA from 1 species
AGACGUCUACAUUAGAUACCCGGGUAGUCCCAGCCGUAAACUAUGCGCGUUAGGUGUAUCGGUGACCACGAGUUACCGAGGUGCCGAAGGGAAACCGUGAAACGUGCCGCCUGGGAAGUACGGUCGCAAGGCUGAAACUUAAAGAAUUGGCGGGGGAGCACCACAACGGGUGGAGCCUGCGGUUUAAUUGGACUCAACGCCGGGAAGCUCACCGGAUAAGACAGCGGAAUGAUUGCCGGGCUGAAGACUCUGCAUGACUAGCUG